rnacentral:sRNA from 1 species
AUCGCUUCUCGGCCUUUUGGCUAAGAUCAAGUGUAGCAUUAAGCCUAGGGUUAGCAUUUGGUUUAGGCUUAUCUUUAGGGUAAUGGAUAGGGUUAAAGCUAAU